UCAGAGGGAACCAGCUUAGUCUAACUUUGCUGCCUUUCAUGUGAACACCUCCAUAAUAAAGCUCCUGCUGUUUAAUGCCUUGGCCUCCUGGUCCUCCUACCAACUUAACAAGACAUCCUGAUAACCAUGAGUGAAGUGGAUGGGAACCAUGUUCAGAUAAAAAAUGUUACUGUUCUGCAAGCCCUUGGUGCUACAAGUGAAGGAACCUCACUGCAAUACAGGUGUCAACAAGAAUUGCUGUGUGAGAUCAAAAAGUUUUGAAAAUCUGCCGAAUAAUAUGUCUGGAAAAAGCUAUUGCCCAAUAAAUAGCUCUUAAAAAAUGUGACUUUAACUGGCAGUAUUAUGCCUAUGAUACAGGCUGGUCGCAGGUGGCAUUUGCAGCAGGUGGCAUAGCUCUGUGACUGUCUCAUUGCUUGCUCAGAGGGUAAUGGAAACCGUUAUCUCCAACUAUUGCCAGCUAUGUGAAUGAUUGCCGAGGUGAAAUAAGUUUGGAUUGUCUGCUGAUUUCUCAGCUUAUGCAAUUUAUCAUGAAAUGUUAUACUUUGGGAUAUUUUUCAGGUUAUUCCCAUUCUUGGUUUGACAGUGAUUUGGCGUUUGGCGUAGGACUCCAGCUUCAUGUUGGCUUCUCGCUCACCAAGCCAAAGUAAAAAAAACCUUUUGUACAAGCCUCGUUCCAUGUCUGCUGUGUUCUUCCUGCAUCUGCUCAAUGUUUUUAAAUCAUUUUGGCAAUUGGUAACCUUUUGCAGAUUUGCUACGGAAUAUUGGAUUGUUAUUAAUUUCUUCUUCAGGGAGCCAUGUAUUCUGCAUUGGCCCAACAGAUGGAAAAAUUCAGGAUCACAAUCCGCAUGAAAAAUCAUUUUAACAAAUAUUAAAAAAAGGAAAAUAAAUGAUCAGAUAAAUAUAUAAACCUCUUUAAACCAGUUCAAAUAGCUAAGAAAAGCACGCUACGCAAAAAGGUUCUGUAUUAUAGAAAGAUGAUUUUGAUGUGAAUCAGAUCGGGAAUGACAGUCAAAAUGAAACAGAUGAAUUGCUUGAUGACCCCAGUCAUUUGUGAUUUCCUAUAAGACUAAUGGUUAUCUUGCCUAAGUCAGAUGAAAGCAUCAACACAUGUAUACAAAUUGGGCUUCUAUAACAUCAAUAUUUUCCAAUAUUCCAAUGUUUCUGAUUUACUUCCUGGCUGCUUUUGUCAGAACGCCACCCAGUGGCAUAAUAAUGAUGCCAGGCCAUUAAAAUUGGCUGAUCCUUCCAUUGCCACUCUUACACUGGCUGACAUUUGUUAAGCUCCAUUCCCAUUAAUGUUCAUAAUUUUUAAUUUCUAUCAAAUCGUACAGGAUAAUCAUGGCUGUUGUGCAACAUUGCUGCGCCAACAAUUGAUGUCCUCACAAAGAUAGUGCAUCACUGUAAGUUGUCUUUAACAUUAAAUCAUUUAUUAUAAGCUGAGUUCUUAUGCACAUUCAUUUAUUAUUGAUAGAAAAUAAAGUCUCACCGGAAAACAACAUGCCAUGUUUUGCCUUCACAGGGAUUUGAAUGAGAAUUAGUUGCAUAAUUUGAGAUUUUAAUGCAAGAUUCUGAAUGGUUGUCAACUGCAGAAAUAACUGGCAUUUUUGUUAAAUGAGA